rnacentral:rRNA from 1 species
UACGAAGGGGGCUAGCGUUGCUCGGAAUGACUGGGCGUAAAGGGUGCGUAGGUGGCGCGCUAAGUCAGGUGUGAAAUUUCGGAGCUUAACUCCGAAACUGCAUUUGAUACUGGCGUGCUUGAGGACUGGAGAGGAGACUGGAAUUCACGGUGUAGCAGUGAAAUGCGUAGAGAUCGUGAGGAAGACCAGUGGCGAAGGCGGGUCUCUGGACAGUUCCUGACACUGAGGCACGAAGGCCAGGGGAGCAAACGGG